rnacentral:lncRNA from 1 species
GUAAUGGGAUGGUCACUUUUGUGAUUAUUUCCUGUUGUGUAUUUGGAAGAAAGCAGUAAAUGUGUAAAACAAAGAAAACAAAAAGAGAAAAUCAUGUCAUCUGAGAUUCAAAGAGAAAGAAAGUAACAUGUAAGUUGUAAAAAUCUGAUAUAUAUACGAUUAAUAAUGACAAAUACAAUAUGAUUUUUUAAUCUGAGGGAUGUUGUUAAAAAUUAAAACAUAUAUUAAUUUCUAUCAUUUUAUAAUGUUGAUCUUGAAGUUUAUACGUUUCGGGCGAAAUGUUUGCUAGAUUGUAAAUCAUUUCAAUCCUAUUAAUCAUCAUGAAAUAUUGCCACUUGAAUAUUGGUAUCUUCAUACAAAUUGUUAAUUACCAAUAUUUUUAAUAUUUUUUUUUCUAAAAUCGAUAACGAUAACAUGUUAUGACCAUUACUGAAGAUGUACCUUAUUUGUAAUGUUUCAGAAACGAGUUCUACUUCAUUGAAAUUAAAUGAAUCUGUUAGUUUUAUUGUAUUUCUUAAUCGCAUGCAACAUAAACGAUAUAUUGUGAAACCUGAUCAUAUACUCACUUCCAUGUGAAACAGUGUUUUAGUUAUCAAAUAGAGUAUUUUAUUUUUUAAAUCUUUUUUUUUUUAAAUUCUUAUCUAAAUUCAUUGCAAGAAUAUGUUUGUAAUUUGUUAUAUAAUUAUACGAACUCGGCUGAAUUUAGUUUUUUGUCCUCGGUAAAACUUUUGCAAAACAAAACCGAUAUUGAUAGUUUGUCGGAGUAAAUAUCAGUCACAAAAAUCUGCCGCUUCGAAAUAUAAAAAAUCGUUUGAAAUGAUAAAAAAUCGGGGGCCGGAGGGGGACGUUAAAAAAAAAGACUAUAUCACACAGACGGAUAUUUAUAAAAUGAUAAAAGAACAACUAUAAAUUAUUUGUCUUAAUUACUUGAAGUAGCUUUUCUUUUUAAUGUACAAUUUUACAUUCUAAUAUAAAUUUAUAGGUCAGGUAUUUGAGUACUACAAAAUACAAAAUAAAUCAGAGUGCAAAAGGAAAAAAAGAGAACUAGGAAUAAUAAGAAUUAUUGACAACAUCCUGGC